UUCACCAUGUUGGCCAGGCUGGUCUCAGCUCAACACCUCAGGUGAUCUACCUGCCUUGACCUCCCAAAAUGCUGGGGUUACCGGCAUGAGCCACAGUGCCCGGCCUUAACAAAGGUUCUUAUAUGUUCCUCUAGCGUGUCUCUUGGUAUAUUUCUAGAGGUUUUUUUGUUUGUUUCUAGUAUUUGUUUUAUUUCUAGAAUUUGUUGUGAAAGAAACUUUGUGAUAGAAAGAAGACCAGCGUAACCUUGUCACCAAAAUUGAAGGAUACUAUGAGAAGAGAAAAUUAUGAGUGAAACAUGUUAUUAUCUCAAUGUUGCAGGAAAAGCAUUUGAUAAAAUAUAACAUCAUUUUUUUGAUAAACAGAAAAAUUGUAACUAGGAAUAUAAAGGAACUUAAUUAAUCGGAUAAGGGUCUCUACAGAGAAACAAUUAGCAAAUAUAAUACCUAAUGGAGAUAUGCCAAAAGCUUUAUCAAUAUCUAGAGGAAGGCAAGGAUAAUGGCUAUCACACUUAUGUUCAGCCUUGUUCUAGAGGCCUCAGCAAGUGCAAUAGGGUGAAAAAAAUACACAGAUUGGAAAGGAAUAAAUAAAAUUGUCAUUAUUGGUGAA